GAUGAACGCUGGCGGCGUGCCUAGUACAUGCCAGUCGAGCGAACGGACGAGAAGCUUGCUUCUCUGAUGUUAGCGGCGGACGGGUGAGUAACACGUGGAUAACCUACCUAUAAGACUGGGAUAACUUCGGGAAACCGGAGCUAAUACCGGAUGAGAUUUUGAACCGCAUGGUUCAAAAGUGAAAGACGGUCUUGCUGUCACUUAUAGAUGGAUCCGCGCUGCAUUAGCUAGUUGGUAAGGUAACGGCUUACCAAGGCAACGAUGCAUAGCCGACCUGAGAGGAUGAGCGGCCACCCUGGAACGGAGACACGGUCCAGACUCCUACGGGAGGCAGCAGUAGGGAAUCGUCCGCAAUGGGCGAAGGCCUGACGGAGCAGCGCCGCGUGAGUGAUGAAGGUCUUCGGAUCGUAAAACUCUGUUAUUAGGGAGGAACAUAUGUGUAAGUAACUGUGCGCAUCUUGACGGUACCUAAUCAGAAAGCCACGGCUAACUACGUG
rnacentral:rRNA from 1 species